rnacentral:rRNA from 1 species
AAAUGACGGUACCUGACUAAGAAGCACCGGCUAAAUACGUGCCAGCAGCCGCGGUAAUACGUAUGGUGCAAGCGUUAUCCGGAUUUACUGGGUGUAAAGGGAGCGUAGACGGCUGUGUAAGUCUGAAGUGAAAGCCCGGGGCUCAACCCCGGGACUGCUUUGGAAACUAUGCAGCUAGAGUGUCGGAGAGGUAAGUGGAAUUCCCAGUGUAGCGGUGAAAUGCGUAGAUAUUGGGAGGAACACCAGUGGCGAAGGCGGCUUACUGGACGAUGACUGACGUUGAGGCUCGAAAGCGUGGGGAGCAAACAGGAUUAGAUACCCUGGUAGUCCACGCCAUAAACGAUGACUACUAGGUGUCGGGGAGCAAAGCUCUUCGGUGCCGCAGCAAACGCAAUAAGUAGUCCACCUGGGGAGUACGUUCGCAAGAAUGAAACUCAAAG